rnacentral:misc_RNA from 1 species
CUGAGUGAGGGUCUUCGGGCCCGACCUCCCAACCCGGUGUCUAUCAACUUCAGUUGCUUCGGUGGGCCGGACGCGACCCACGGGUCGUGACCCCCAGUCUUCGGGCUGGAGCGUGCCCGCCGAUGGCCUCCACAAACUCUUGGUACCCAACCUGUCGUCUGAAUUGAAUUUUCAAAAACA